rnacentral:rRNA from 1 species
UACGAAGGGGGCUAGCGUUGCUCGGAAUCACUGGGCGUAAAGCGCACGUAGGCGGGGCUUUAAGUCAGGGGUGAAAUCCUGGAGCUCAACUCCAGAACUGCCUUUGAUACUGGGGAUCUCGAGUCCGGGAGAGGUGAGUGGAACUCCGAGUGUAGAGGUGAAAUUCGUAGAUAUUCGGAAGAACACCAGUGGCGAAGGCGGCUCACUGGCCCGGUACUGACGCUGAGGUGCGAAAGCGUGGGGAGCAAACAGG